GACGAACGCUGGCGGCGUGCUUAACACAUGCAAGUCGAGCGGUAAGGCCCUUUCGGGGGUACACGAGCGGCGAACGGGUGAGUAACACGUGGGUGACCUGCCCUCAGCUCUGGGAUAAGCCUGGGAAACCGGGUCUAAUACUGGAUAUGACUCCAUGACGCAUGUUGUGGGGUGGAAAGCCUUGCGCGGCUGAGGAUGGGCCCGCGGCCUAUCAGCUUGUUGGUGGGGUGANGGCCUACCAAGGCGACGAUCGGUAGCUGGUCUGAGAGGACGACCAGCCACACUGGGACUGAGACACGGCCCAGACUCCUACGGGAGGCAGCAGUGGGGAAUAUUGGACAAUGGGCGCAAGCCUGAUCCAGCGAUGCCGCGUGUGUGAAGAAGGCCUGC
rnacentral:rRNA from 1 species